rnacentral:rRNA from 1 species
CAGCAGCCGCGGGAAUACAGAGGGUGCGAGCGUUAAUCGGAUUUACUGGGCGUAAAGCGUGCGUAGGCGGCUUCUUAAGUCGGAUGUGAAAUCCCUGAGCUUAACUUAGGAAUUGCAUUCGAUACUGGGAAGCUAGAGUAUGGGAGAGGAUGGUAGAAUUCCAGGUGUAGCGGUGAAAUGCGUAGAGAUCUGGAGGAAUACCGAUGGCGAAGGCAGCCAUCUGGCCUAAUACUGACGCUGAGGUACGAAAGCAUGGGGAGCAAACAGGAUUAGAUACCCCGGUAGUCCCUGUCUAUUAUAC